UGCCCGAAUCCUGACACAGGGAGGUAGUGACAAGAAAUAACAAUACAGGGCUACUUCCAGUCUUGUAAUUGGAAUGAGUACAACUUACAUCUCUUCACGAGGAUCAACUGGAGGGCAAGUCUGGUGCCAGCAGCCGCGGUAAUUCCAGCUCCAGAAGCGUAUAUUAAAGUUGUUGCAGUUAAAACGCUCGUAGUCGGGUUUCGGGUCGGGCCGAGCGGUCUGCCGAUGGGUAUGCACUGUUUGGCGCGGCCUUCUCUCCGGAGACCGCGGCUACUCUUAACUGAGCGGGCGUGGGAGACGGAUCGUUUACUUUGAAAAAAUCAGAGUGUUUCAAGCAGGCAGCUCGCUCUUGCAUGGUACAGCAUGGGAUGAUUGAAUAGGACUCCGGUGCUAUUUUGUUGGUUUCGAACACCAGGAGUAAUGAUUAACAGGGACAGUCAGGGGCACUCGUAUUCCGUCGAGAGAGGUGAAAUUCUCAGACCAAUGGAAGACGAACCACUGCGAAAGCAUUUGCCAGGGAUGUUUUCACUGAUCAAGAACGAAAGUUAGGGGAUCGAAGACGAUCAGAUACCGUCGUAGUCUUAACCAUAAACCAUGCCGACUAGGGAUUGGAGGGUGUUCGUUUCGACCUCUUCAGCACCUUACGGGAAACUAAAGUCUUUGGGUUCCGGGGGGAGUAUGGUCGCAAGGCUGAAACUUAAAGGAAUUGAC
rnacentral:rRNA from 1 species